CCAGCCUUGUUUCAAUAAGUCCCCUUUAUUGUAUAGACACAGCAAGAGGGCUUUGAGCCAGCCCAUUCAGCCUGGGCUUCCCAUAGGAUUACAUAUCUAAAUAUAUGGAAGUAAAAGUGGCCCGAGCAGCCACCAGGGCCACUGUGUCUGAGUCUGAGUGUCCUGGUCGCAGAGAGCCCAGCUGAGAGGUCAGGCGUCGAGCGAGUAGGUGCCAUGGUGUGGGAUACCGUCAUGUCUGCCUGGUGAGGUGAGGGAGGGAGACGGGAGAGGAAAUGGAAUGGAAAAUGGCCCUGGCUGUUUGCACCAUGUGGAGAGGACACCUAGCCAGUCUCCAUAUCCUCAGGGCUACUGGGGUCAAGACAUUAAAGCUAGGGGUGAGAUAGCUGUCCCUCUCUGACUGGAGCUCUUUGAUGACGUGAGGGAAGCCUUUGUGUGUGUAAUAGCCAGGAGGACCCGGAUAAAGAGGCCCUUUCUGCCCACUAAAAGCCUUUGUUGUCUGGGCUAAGUGGAGAUGGAGGGGUGGAGGGUUAAGGUGUCCGCGUGCUGCGAAUCCGGAACAGUUCGUGCACAUAAUAUGGAGACAUUUUGUCUCGUUAUAGUCUUCGGCAAGGUUUUUUUUUUACUGUUUGUGCAUACAAUAUUUUUUCUCGAGGCAAGCCGAAAUUCAGUUGCCGAAGUCUAUGCCCCUUCGGCGGUGUUUGGUCAACUGUAGGGGCUAAGAUUCAGCCCGAAACCCAUUGUGGAUUCAAAAUGGCGAAUGACAACAACUACAAUAGUUGGUGGGGGUUCUUGCAGGAACCUAACUGCCCAACUGAUUCACUUGGAUUUGAAUUUGAAAGGACUGCAGGUGCAGGAACUUAACUGAAAAAUGUAAAGAUCUCUUGUAUGAUCUAAAUUGAUAUUGUUUUAUGAUGAUACCAUCUAUCUUUUAAUAUUUGUGGAAAUCUUUUUAAAAAUAGAAAAUGGACCCAAUUUAAUGGAUAUCAAUCAACAAAGAGGUAUACAGACGAGGAGGCAUAGAAAGGUAUUGGUAUGUUAUGCAGAUCACAUUUACCAUCCUCCUCCCUUACCUCUUCAAUAAAAAUCACAUAGGCCUCUACAUUAUGGACAAGGUAUGUGUAUGAAAACCAAUUUCAAAAGUGUUUUUCACAUUUACCACAAAAACCAAGGUAUGAAUACUGUCGUGUGCAUGUUUUGUUAAUCAUCUGUAUAAUUACUAUUUUUGAAUUCACAGACUUCACCCUCCCUACACCUCUGAUUAAUAUAACAGGAAACCUGUUUGAUCACCAUGUACUGCAAAAUCAUUCUGGCUAUG